AACAAGUCACGCAUAAAGUAUUUAUCAUUUCAAACGUUUGAUUGUCCGUCUUAUAUGAAUUUUUUUUUAUAAUUAAUAUUUUCAUUGUUGUUAGAUGAUAAAACAUGAUUAAUACUUUAUGCGUGACUUGUCUUUCUAAUUUUUUUCAUAAUUUUUUCAAAUAAGAUGGACGGUCAAACGUUUGACACGGAAACCAGGGUUUGUCUUUUU
rfam:Oryza barthii chromosome 2, whole genome shotgun sequence.